GGGCCCGCACAAGCGGUGGAGUAUGUGGUUUAAUUCGAUGCAACGCGAAGAACCUUACCAGGGUUUGACAUCCUGCGAAUCUCUUGGAAACAGGAGAGUGCCUUCGGGAACGCAGUGACAGGUGGUGCAUGGCUGUCGUCAGCUCGUGUCGUGAGAUGUUGGGUUAAGUCCCGCAACGAGCGCAACCCACGUCUUUAGUUGCCAGCAUUGGUGGCACUCUAGAGAGACUGCCGGUGAUAAACCGGAGAAGGUGUGGAUGACGUCAAGUCAUCAUGCCCCUUACAUCUGGGCUACACACGUACUACAAUGCUACGGACAAAGGGCAGCAAGUUCGCGAGGACAAGCAAAUCCCAUAAACGUGGCUCAG
rnacentral:rRNA from 1 species